rnacentral:misc_RNA from 1 species
AAAGUCGUAACAAGGUUUCCGUAGGUGAACCUGCGGAAGGAUCAUUACAAAUCCAACGUCUCCUGGAGACACCGUCGAAACAGCGUGAUGGAGAUGAUGGGACGCGACGUGACGCGUGGACGAGUAGACGAGUGGCAGCCGCCGCCCGUCUGCCGUCUGCCGUCGGCGUCGCCCACCCCGCCGUCUCCAUUUACAACCCAGAAAUCGUUGAUCAUUUGUAUGCUUCGUAACACGAAACAACUUAUACCAAUGGAUCUCUAGGCUCUU